AUUGAACGCUGGCGGAAUGCUUUACACAUGCAAGUCGAACGGCAGCACGGACUUCGGUCUGGUGGCGAGUGGCGAACGGGUGAGUAAUGUAUCGGAACGUGCCCAGUCGUGGGGGAUAACGUAGUGAAAAUUACGCUAAUACCGCAUACGAUCUAUGAAUGAAAGCGGGGGAUUGCAAGACCUCGCGCGAUUGGAGCGGCCGAUAUCAGAUUAGGUAGUUGGUGGGGUAAAGGCCCACCAAGCCAACGAUCUGUAGCUGGUCUGAGAGGACGACCAGCCACACUGGAACUGAGACACGGUCCAGACUCCUACGGGAGGCAGCAGUGGGGAAUUUUGGACAAUGGGCGAAAGCCUGAUCCAGCCAUUCCGCGUGCAGGAUGAAGGCCCUCGGGUUGUAAACUGCUUUUGUACAGAACGAAAAGGUUUCUACUAAUACUAGGAGCUCAUGACGGUACUGUAAGAAUAAGCACCGGCUAACUACGUGCCAGCCGCCGCGGUAA
rnacentral:rRNA from 1 species